AGUGGUGGUAUUGGAGAUUACCUGAAGUUGGCACAGGGUUUCAUGAAGAAACAGGAUGGGGAAGGGGACAGUGGGGGCGGCAUGGGAGACUACUUAAAGCUUGCAGAAGGUUUCUUGAAGAAGCGCUGAUUAAUCUUCCAUAUCAUGAUUCAGGAAGGACUUGUUUGGUUAGUCACUUGUCCUGUUUAUUGUCUCCAAGUAGUGACAUUUUCGAGGUUUCCAUCAUAGGAUGUAAUACAAGUGCAUUGCUUAUGUUGUCUGUGUGUUGUGACAUGAAUGCUUAAUGUGCUGCUGGGAUAAUAAAAGCUUGGAUGC
rnacentral:lncRNA from 1 species